UCGCGACCCCAGGUCAGGCGRGACUACCCGCUGAG
rnacentral:rRNA from 1 species